rnacentral:rRNA from 1 species
AUUAAACGCUGGCGGCAUGCCUUACACAUGCAAGUCGAACGGCAGCACGGGGCAACCUGGUGGCGAGUGGCGAACGGGUGAGUAAAGCAUCGGAACGUGCCCUGGAGUGGGGGAUAACGUAGCGAAAGUUACGCUAAUACCGCAUAUUCUGUGAGCAGGAAAGCAGGGGGAUCGCAAGACCUUGCGCUCUGGGAGCGGCCGAUGUCGGAUUAGCUAGUUGGUGGGGUAAAGCCUACCAAGGCGACGAUCCGUAGCGGGUCUGAGAGGAUGAUCCGCCACACUGGGACUGAGACACGGCCCAGACUCCUAC